GUCUUAGUAGCUCAGCUGGAUUGAACAACGGCCUUCUAAGGCAUCGGUCGGGGGUUCGAAUCCCUCCUGGGACA
rnacentral:tRNA from 1 species